rnacentral:rRNA from 1 species
UACGUAGGGCGCGAGCGUUAAUCGGAAUUACUGGGCGUAAAGCGCACGUAGGCUGUUGUGUAAGUUGGGGGUGAAAUCCCACGGCUCAACCGUGGAACAGCCCUUGAUACUGCGCGACUUGAAUCCGGGAGAGGGUGGCGGAAUUCCAGGUGUAGGAGUGAAAUCCGUAGAUAUCUGGAGGAACAUCAGUGGCGAAGGCGGCCACCUGGACCGGUAUUGACGCUGAGGCGCGAAAGCGUGGGGAGCAAACAGG